CAGCCCCGCUGCCGCCGCCGCCUCGCCGCGCUUGGGCCCGUGGCCGGCCGCGCAUUGUCCGCGGGUGCAAGGAGCCUGGCUGCGGACUCGGAUCGCCGCGGGCCCAACCCCGUAGCUGGCGGGCGGGGAGCUGUGCGCCGGGAGCGCCAGGGGACCCCAGAUUAGGAACAGGCACGCCGGCCGGAGACCGGGUGCCGGAGGCUCCCGGCUGGGCGCUCCGCGGGGCAAGGCUGGGAACCGCGGGCAGGCUCCAGGUUCUCUUUCCCGGCUUCGGGCGUCCUUGGGGCCGGCGCUUACUCGGCGCCACCAGCCUGGAGCUGCUUUCCAGCGGCUGGAAGCGGGAGCGGUCCCAGGCUGGGGCCGGGUGACCGGAGGAGUGGAGGAGCCGCGGCCACGGCCGGCCAGGCCUGGGAAGGCAGGGCGAAUGGGGGUUUGCGGGCGGAUCGGUGGAGGCAGAGGAACACCGGCGGGGUCCGGGAAGCCAGGAUCUGAGGGACUACGCGCAGGGACCCUCACCCAGGGAGGAGCGAGAAUGUGUGAAGUCUGGAGCAGGACUUCUGAGGCUUUCUAUCCUCCAUGCCGCUCACUAGAAAAGGGGCUGUGAACUGACAAGGUGCAGCUGCUGCUGCCGUGCCAGUGCUGGUGUGGUGUCUGUCACUGAGCAGGGCUUUAGCCGUGCCGCUUUUCUUCUCUUGGGUGCCACUGCUCAGCUUGUCAGGUAAGAUCUCCCAAGUACCUUCAGAAGACACGUGGCAAAGAGAAGCUGUCUGCCAGCUCCAAGCCAGGGGGUGUCAGUGUAUAAGCUUUGGAGUCAAACAAAAUUAGGUUUGAAACCAACCUCUGCCAAUUUUUAGCUGCAUGGCCUUGGGCUGGUUACUUCCUACUGAGAAUCUUAGUUCCUGCCUGUAAAAUGUGAAUAUUCUGUUUAUCUCACAGUGUCAUUGUCAGCUUUAAAUGAGAUAAUACUCACAAAGUGUUCACGACCAGGACGGGCAAGUCCCAGUCUCUCAAUCUGUGGUGUCUGAGUCACCUGGAGGUGACUCUUUAAAGAUCUUGUUAAAGCACAGAUCGCUGGGCCCUACCUCUGGGGUUUCUGAUUCAAUCGGUCUGAAAUGGAGCCCUGGAAUUUCCAUUUCGAACACGUUCCCAGGUGAUGCUGCUGGUACAGAGAUCACACGUUGAAAAGCACUGGUCUCUGUCAUCCAGCGAGGGAAAUAUUUGACCAAGAUCCAUUGAGCUUUAUAGGUACCCAGCUUUGUCUACCAAAGCUUCCAAGUGGGUGUAGAGGAUCAAAUUUAGACUAGUGCUGUCCGGUAAAAUGCUUUGCAGUCAUGGAAUUUUCUAUGUCUGUGCUGGCCAAUUUGGUAGUCACUAUUCACAUGUAGUAAUUGAACACUUAAAAUGCAUACAGCUGAAGGAAUGAAUUUUACAUUUAAAUUUCACAUAGCCAGCCAGGCAUGCUGGCCCAUGCCUGUAAUCCCAGCACUUUGGUGUGCUGAGGCGGGUGGAUCACUUGAGGUCAGGAGUUCGAGACCAGCCUGGGCAACAUGGCAAAACCCCCUCUCUACUAAAAGUACAAAAAUUAGGUGGGCAUGGUGGCACGUGCCUAUAAUCCCUGGGGAGGCUCCCUGGGGAGGCUGAGGCAGGAGAAUCAAUUGCUUGAGCCUAGAAGGCAGAGGUUGCCGUGAGCUGAAAUCACACCACUGUGCUCCAGCCUGAGCAACAGAAGGAGACUCCAUCUCAAUCAAUCAAUCAAUAAAUUCCAUAUAGCCACAUGCAGCUAAUGCCUACCACCAGAUAGCACAGACAAGAUUCUCAUAGACAGGACUUAGUGAAGACAUAACUAUUAACCAGGGAAAUGAAUGGGUAAACGGGUGACACCUCAAGAACGGAGAUUGGGGUCAAGACAAACAUUGCAGCCACCUGCCCCUUCAGUGUGUUCCCUCUACCUGAG
rnacentral:lncRNA from 1 species